CGGGGUGGAGCAGCCAGGUAGCUCGUCGGGCUCAUAACCCGAAGGUCACAGGUUCGAAUCCUGUCCCCGCUACUCCA
rnacentral:tRNA from 1 species